rnacentral:rRNA from 1 species
UACAGAGGGUGCGAGCGUUGUUCGGAAUUAUUGGGCGUAAAGAGCUCGUAGGCGGUCUGUCGCGUCGAUCGUGAAAACUUGGGGCUUAACCCUGAGCUUGCGGUCGAUACGGGCAUGACUGGAGUUCGGCAGGGGAGACUGGAAUUCCAGGUGUAGCGGUGAAAUGCGUAGAUAUCUGGAGGAACACCGGUGGCGAAGGCGGCAUCCUGGACCGGCAUUGACGCUGAGGCGCGAAAGCCAGGGGAGCAAACGGG